AGUCCAGGUAAUGGAGCAGAGACUGGAGCAGAGACAAGUUGUUCCCACUGAGCUCUCCUCAGAUUACAGAUUGGUGAUACAUCACAGGGGCUCAUGAAUGUGUCUUAAGCUGGGUCAUUGAAGUGGAAUGUUUUCACAAGACCUCCUCCACUUGCUACUGUGUCCGGAAUUGGUGGGUUCUUGGUCUCACUGACUUCAAGAAUGAAGCCGCGGACCCUCGCGUAGCUGCAGCAUCAACCCAGUGCCCUGACUUUCAAGACGACUAUGAAAACACCCCAACUGCUGCUAAAUUACCAGCAACAAGGAUCUGACAUUCUUAUUCAAAAGAAAGAACACCGAAAUUGACCUUACCCUGACAAUAUGAUGGCUGAAGGAUUUAUGAUCACUUAUAACAUUUGAAAUUGAGGCGGAACCUGAAGAAUAAGACUCUGGUGAAAGGUCCUAUUUAUGCUUUUGAUGUCUUUCACUUGGACAUUUACCACAUGCCUAUUGGUAGGUUUGUUACAUAGGUCAGUUAAGGUGAUACAAGAAUAAAUAAAACACUAUCCCUAUCCUUUAAUAUCAUUUAUUUAUGGGGUCAAUCACAGAUUUUCAUUUUUCAAAAUCUUUGAUAAAUGUCAGAAUUAUGUUUUUUAAUAUUUUUACAGAAUUAUUACAAUAUAUGGUAGAGGAUGGAAGGCAAGGUAGUAUGAAACGGAAAAGAUAUUUUGAAUUAAGGUAUUUGGACCUGGAUUAAUAUUUUUGCUUUGGUCUUUAUUAGCUGAGUGACCUUGAGAAAGUUCUUCUACUAAAAAAGAACAAAGAUAAUAAUUACUUCAUGAAAUUGCUGUAAAAAACACAUAACAAGUAUAUCCAGACUCAACAGUGUAUGCUCAAAAAUGCAGAUCCUUUUUCCCUUACCUGCAAAUAAAGUCUUACAGUAAUACAGUGGGGGUAAAGGUUUAAACUGGUGGAUUCAAGAAGGGCUAUAGAAAGAGGUAGCAUCUUAAUAGGGGAAGGAGAGGAUCCAAGAAAUCAGAUCCAUUUUCUACAAAAAGAAAUGGGAAGACAGAUAAUUCAAGAAGAAAAGUUUACAUGAUUAAAGACCCGAAGUUAGAAAUAGUGAUGUGUCUCAAUAGUAAGUUAGGAAUUGGGGUGGACACAAUUGUUGGAAGAAGGAUGGUUUCAGCAAAGGCCCAAGUUAGGUGACAAUUUCAAGUGUUUGUGAAGAUAUAUGAACAAAAUUAUAAAGUAGUUAGGGUAUAAGAAAUAGGGAGGAGGGAAUGAAUUAACAUUUAUGGAGUGUCUUGCAUGUUCCAAGCACUGUACUACUUGCCUUAUAAACCUUUCUUCAAUAAACGCCUACAACAAUC
rnacentral:lncRNA from 1 species